UACGUAGGGUGCGAGCGUUAAUCGGAAUUACUGGGCGUAAAGCGUGCGCAGGCGGUUCGCCAAGUCAGGUGUGAAAUCCCCCGGGCUUAACCUGGGAAUUGCGCUUGAAACUAGCGGGCUUGAGUGUGGCAGAGGGGGGGUGGAAUUCCACGUGUAGCAGUGAAAUGCGUAGAGAUGUGGAGGAACACCGAUGGCGAAGGCAGCCCCCUGGGCUAACACUGACGCUCAUGCACGAAAGCGUGGGGAGCAAACAGG
rnacentral:rRNA from 1 species